AUGAGGCUCCCUGUUCAGCUCCUGGGGCUGCUAAUGCUCUGCCUCCCUGGAUCCAGUGCAGAUAUUGUGAUGACCCAGACUCCACUCCCCCUGCCCAUCACCCUUGGAGAGCCAGCCUCCAUCUCCUGCAAGUCUAGUCAGAGCCUCCUGCAUAGUAAUGGAAACACCUAUUUGUAUUGGUACCUGCAGAAGCCAGGCCCGUCUCCACAGCUCCUGAUUUAUAGGGUUUCCAACAGAGCCUCUGGGGUCCCAGACAGGUUCAGUGGCAGUGGGUCAGGCACUGAUUUCACACUGAAAAUCAGCAGGGUGGAGGCUGAGGAUGUUGGGGUUUAUUACUGCAUGCAAGGUAUACAGCUUCCUCCCACGGUGGAAGACAAUGGGUAUGAUCUUGAUUACAUCGGUGGCAUUGCUGGUUUAUUUUCAAUCUCAGAGACCACUGGAGAAGUCGUGACCAUGCAGAACCCAGCAUCCCUGUCUUCGUCUCCAGGGGAAAAAGACAAACCUACCCGCAGGGCCAGUCAGAUUGUUAGCAGCUCCCAAGUCUGA